rnacentral:rRNA from 1 species
UACGUACGAGGCGAGCGUUAUCCGGAAUUACUGGGCGUAAAGCGCGCGCAGGCGGAUGUUUAAGUAGGGCGUGAAAUCUCCCGGCCUAACUGGGAGGGGUCGCUCUAGACUGGGCGUCUUGAGGACAGCAGAGGAGUGUGGAAUUCCCGGUGUAGCGGUGAAAUGCGCAGAUAUCGGGAAGAACACCCGUGGCGAAGGCGGCACUCUGGGACGGUACUGACGCUGAGACGCGAAAGCGUGGGAGCGAACAGG